GAUGAACGCUGGCGGCGUGCCUAAUACAUGCAAGUCGAGCGAACAGACGAGGAGCUUGCUCCUUUGACGUUAGCGGCGGACGGGUGAGUAACACGUAGGUAACCUACCUAUAAGACUGGGAUAACUUCGGGAAACCGGAGCUAAUACCGGAUAAUAUUUCGAACCGCAUGGUUCGAUAGUGAAAGAUGGCUUUGCUAUCACUUAUAGAUGGAUCUGCGCCGUAUUAGCUAGUUGGUAAGGUAACGGCUUACCAAGGCAACGAUACGUAGCCGACCUGAGAGGGUGAUCGGCCACACUGGAACUGAGACACGGUCCAGACUCCUACGGGAGGCAGCAGUAGGGAAUCUUCCGCAAUGGGCGAAAGCCUGACGGAGCAACGCCGCGUGAGUGAUGAAGGUCUUCGGAUCGUAAAACUCUGUUAUUAGGGAAGAACAAACGUGUAAGUAACUGUGCACGUCUUGACGGUACCUAAUCAGAAAGCCACGGCUAACUACGUG
rnacentral:rRNA from 1 species